rnacentral:rRNA from 1 species
AGGCUUAACACAUGCAAGUCGAGCGCCCCGCAAGGGAAGCGGCAGACGGGUGAGUAACGCGUGGGAACGUACCCUUUACUACGGAAUAACGCAGGGAAACUUGUGCUAAUACCGUAUGUGCCCUUCGGGGGAAAGAUUUAUCGGUAAGGGAUCGGCCCGCGUUGGAUUAGCUAGUUGGUGGGGUAAAGGCCUACCAAGGCGACGAUCCAUAGCUGGUCUGAGAGGAUGAUCAGCCACAUUGGGACU